rnacentral:lncRNA from 9 species
GGGUUCUCCUUCACUGUGGGCUGGAGAAGAUGCUUCGUCCCGUAGGGUGGUGGCUCAAUCUCGGAUUGUGCAGCCUCCUGCUAGGGCAGGCGGAGGCCCCGAGCCCGGUGGAACCGCCGGAACGGAGCAGGCCGUAUGCAGUGCUACGUGGGCAGAACCUGGAGCCAUACCUGCGGCCUGCAACACAGCCACAGCAACACAGAACCCAAGCCUCAUCUGUGACCUACACCACAGCUCAUGGCAACGCCACAUCCUUAACCUACUGGUGUUGAUGGGAACCAUUUUCAGCAUCCUGCUGGUGACCAUGAUCCUUAUGGCAUUUUGCGUCUACAAGCCCAUUCGGCGUCGGUGACAGUGAGAAACCAAGUCCUUCCACAAGUAUUUGGUAAAGAAUAAGUUGCAUUGUGCAUGGAUCAGUGGAGAAGCUGGAAUCAGAAGUUUACUGCUUGGAAAUGAUUUUUGUCUGGACACUUGGUAAAUGCUGAAUGAUUUAGAAAAAACAUCUAGCUGUUUUCUUUCUAACACUGUAAUGCAAGUAUUUGGCCACUGAGUCUGCUUCUCAGUGUUUCUUUUUCUAUAUGGCUCUGCUUGUUAAAAGUAAGACCUGAAGCUCCAAGGUUCAGUGUAAAGAUGGCAUGCUCUCGAGAGAGACAACUUUGUGAGUGAUGUAAAAACCACACUGGAAAGGACUGAUCGUUAAUGUUUGAAAAUACGAAGGAGAGGACGACUUAACUUGUCGACCUGCCCAACUUAAGACCCAUUCAACCACAGUGGUUUAAGAAUCACAAAUGUUUUUAAUUGUCCUGAGUUGCGUGGGCCUAGAAUGCCGUUUGCAAAGCAAUGUCAUUUGUGGGGAAUGUAGGCUGCCACUCCUCACGCUGCAGGGAGCUCUGCAUUCAGAUGACUCCACUGAAGUCAAGGUCACACCAGGUAGGCCUAGGACCACGGGCAGUCUUGGGCUGCAAGGUUCUGGGGUUGGACUGGAAGUGUUAGCAGUUGGUCUAUCUGAAAAAGAACUGAUCCUGCACUUAAGUCUUUCCAGCCCAUGCCCUAGACGUCCUGGCAGCCUUUCUGAUUUGGAGUCCAUAAGAGGCUCAGCAGGAGUUCUUUUCAGCCCUGGGUGGGGAGAAUGCAACAGAAGUACCAAGUGCGUGUUCACUGUACGAGGCAGAGUGGCAGGCUGAGUGUGUGUUUACACAAAUUUAAUUUCAACUUUGAAAAUGCUGCUAUUUGUUUGUACUGUUGGUGAACUGGAUAUCUCCCUGCUCCCCACAGAACUGGUAUUUUUGUACUUAACAGUAUUUAUUUUAAAGCUGCUGGGUUUAACUGUGUUGUUAAAUUAAAAUGCGCCGUAUCUUGUUUGUGCUCCAUUCAAGCACAGCACUGUUUUUUGUUUGUUAUUUUUAACAACCUGCACUUAAUGUGAAAUAACUUAUGCGGGAUGCUGUAACUGUUUGACUGAAGGAUUUUGUUUGUAACCCUAACACUGAGCCACUGAAAUAUUGUUUUGUGCUUUUGAGCAAAAUGUGAAUUAAAACUAAAGUAAAAUC